AUACGUAGGGGACGAGCGUUGUUCGGAAUUACUGGGCGUAAAGGGAGCGUAGGCGGAGAUUCAAGCGGAUUGUACAAUCCCGGGGCCCAACCCCGGCUCUGCAGUCCGAACUGGAUCUCUUGGAUAGUUCAGGGGCAUGCGGAAUGCCCGGUGGUGCGGGGGAAUGCGUAGAGAUCGGGAAGUACACCGAUGGCGAAGGCAGCCUGCUGGGGACUUAUCGACGCUGAGGCUCGAAAGUGCGGGUAGCAAACAGGAUUAGAUACCCUGGUAGUCCGCACCGUAAACGAUGCAUACUGGGUGUCCGGGGGUUCCCCCGGGUACCGUAGCCAACGCGUUAAGUAUGCCGCCUGGGGAGUACGUACGCAAGUAUGAAACUCAAAGGAAUUGACGGGG
rnacentral:rRNA from 1 species